rnacentral:rRNA from 1 species
CGCCAGCAGCCGCGGUAAUACGUAGGUGGCGAGCGUUGUCCGGAUUUACUGGGCGUAAAGGAUGCGUAGGCGGAUAUUUAAGUGAGAUGUGAAAUACCCGGGCUUAACUUGGGUGCUGCAUUUCAAACUGGAUAUCUAGAGUGCGGGAGAGGAGAAUGGAAUUCCUAGUGUAGCGGUGAAAUGCGUAGAGAUUAGGAAGAACACCAGUGGCGAAGGCGAUUCUCUGGACCGUAACUGACGCUGAGGCAUGAAAGCGUGGGUAGCAAACAGGAUUAGAUACCCUGGUAGUCCACGCCGUAAACGAUGAGUACUAGGUGUAGGAGGUAUCGACCCCUUCUGUGCCGCAGUUAACACAAUAAGUACUCCGCCUGGGAAGUACGAUCGCAAGAUUAAAACUUAAAGGAAUUGGCGGGGGA